AUUCGAUUUAAGUACUCGAAACUCUAAGAUUAAGAUGUUGAGCGACGACAAUAUAGCCAUCGCUGUAGUAAGAGUGAGACAACGAUAUAAUUUAAGUUGUUACGUUCGGGAAUCGAUUUUAUUAGAUUGUUCAUUUGAACGAAGAUUUUUACACUAAGUUAACAUUUUUUAUGAAUACUGUGUUACUUAAUAAAGAAUUUAAACAAUAUUGUGGUUUUAUUAACGUGUUUUUGUUUUAUUAUUGUUAUGUUUUGCGUCUACGUUAAUUAUUUGAUAAGUUGGUUUUGGUCCGACGAGAAUUCUGUCUGUGGCCAAAUACCUAGAUGCCACUGUGCGUAUUGAAGUGGUUGCGAAAAAGAAUAAAAAGUUUGUCUUGUCUUGUCGUGUUUGGAAAAUAUUUAGCAAGUGCAAAGUGGCGUGUUAAUUGUGUUUUCGUAAGUAACUAAUUUAAAAGAAAGUGAGUGCUAAAGAGGAUACGACUGUUAAGGUAGCAAGAUGGAAGAAAUUCUUUCUACAGCGUUGCGCUCGCGACUAGAAAGACUAAAAGAAACUGUAAAAUUAACGGGUGAUUUACUGAACAAAGUCGAAACAGGAGUAGGAGUACAACAACAACAAUUAGUUGUAAAUAAAAUCGAUCUUAAGAGUAAAUUAGCUCAAUUUCAAGUACAAUUAGAUAAAUACGUGACCCACGUGCCAAACCCACAGAAAGAAUUUUAUCAAGAAUGUGAUGAACUACAAAUUCUAGCAGAGGACGCUAUGACGAAGAUGGAAAUAGUGCUCAAAAUUUAUUCCGAAGAGAACAACACCCAAAAUAAAACUAAACUACCCAAAUUAGACUUGGUCAAAUUCAAUGGAGACAUCUUGAAAUGGAAUUCAUUUUGGGACAGAUUUGUGGCCAGCGUAGAUAGUAAAAAUAUAGGGGACGUGGAGAAGCUAUCAUAUUUAGUAGGAUCUUUAGAGGGUCCGGCACUCCAAGCAAUUGAAGGCUUGGAGACGACUAACCAGAAUUAUGAGGUUGCAACUGUAAUUCUUAAAAAUAGGUUUGGGAAGAAAAAUAACGUAAUUGAUGCUCACAACAAAGCCCUAUUAAAUCUGGAAAGAGCCCAAUCUACUAUUGAGUGCCGAAAAAUAUUAAACAACAUAGAUACUCACCUACGGGUGUUAUCUGCAUACGGAGAAAACACCGAAGCAAGCUAUUUGCGAGGGAUUAUAUUAGAUAAGUUUCCAGAAACGGUAUUGUAUCAGGUUAAAAUUUUAAUUUCGGAAGAAGAAAGUACAGACAACAUAAAAAAAGCACUAGAUAAGGUAAUAACUGCUAUGGAAAGAAUAAACAUAUAAACACCACAAACGCUACAAACAUCAACGUCCGGAUCUACAUCAACAGCUGCUUCAACGUCAGGAUCUACAUCAACUCUACUUAAAGUUACAAGAGAAAGACCAGCAAAACGCAAGAGACUGUUUGACAGAACUAACACAUUUAAGUCUAAACGGCCGAAAAUCUCAUGCAUUUUCUGUGGCAAAACAGGACAUUACAAUGAUGAUUGUAAUGAAUAUAAAACAAUCAAAGAAAGGAUAAGUAGACUGCAACAAAGGUGCUUCUUAUGUUUCAAGAAUGGCCAUAGAGCCUCUAAAUGCUUCAGUAAAAGGAAGUGUCAUCACUGUAAUAAAUUACACAACAGAGCUUUGUGCCCGCAGAAAUCUAAGAAAGACUGCAGUAACACAGAUAGCGGGCCAGCACAACAAACACCUGACAUGUAGAUUACUUAUGGAUUGUGGGAGUAUGAGGUCAUACAUCACAAACAGAUUAGCAAAAGACCUUGAAAUAAAAAAGGACAAUGAAGUUGAUUUAAUUGUCUACACAUUUGGAUCCAAUAAACCUUAUACAAUUAAAAGUUCAUCAGCAGAAGUAACUGUUUUAACAAAGAGACAAAUUGAGAAGAAAAUAAAAGUAAAUAUUGUACCACAUAUAACGGAUCACGUCCCAGUCGUCAAAAUUGAUCAUCCCAAAAUAGAUAUUAGUGCGGAUGAUGAAUCGAUCGGUCAAAGAGUUGACUUGUUGAUUGGUAACGAUUUGUAUUUUUCGUUCCUCAGAAAGGACCUGUUAAAAAUAAAAGAUGAUUUAUAUUUGAUUGAUUCAGAUUUUGGUUGGCUGACUGGAGGCUUCGAUAGGGCUUUCAAUAAU